rnacentral:rRNA from 1 species
CAGAGGUGGCAAGCGUUGUUCGGAAUUACUGGGCGUAAAGGGCGCGUAGGUGGUCUUGUCAGUCAGACGUGAAAUCCCCAGGCUUAACCUGGGAACAGCGUCUGAUACUACGAGACUUGAGUUCGGGAGAGGGAUGUGGAAUUCCAGGUGUAGCGGUGAAAUGCGUAGAUAUCUGGAGGAACACCGGUGGCGAAGGCGGCAUCCUGGACCGAAACUGACACUGAUGCGCGAAAGCCAGGGGAGCAAACGGGAUUAGAUACCCCGGUAGUCCUGGCCCUAAACGAUGAGUGCUUGGUGUGGCGGGUAUCGAUCCCUGCCGUGCCGAAGCUAACGCAUUAAGCACUCCGCCUGGGGAGUACGGUCGCAAGGCUG